GCCGGUUCCCCCAAACUCCAAAGAUACUCAUCAUCGUCUUCUUGCUCAAGAGCUCCUGCUUUUCCAAUUGGCGUCCUCUUCUGGAUGCUUUCAGUAAUACUCUCUUCCAUAUGCUCAAAAGUUGUUGAAAUUUAUCAUGGAGGAUCGUCAUUGAUGGUGUCAAGUUUGAAUUAACUUCGUCCUUCUACCCUAUUCGUCAUAUCAAGUUAAAAGAAUUGCACAGAUGUAGUGUCAGUUAUCAAGAAGACAUUGUUUGAAGACAUGCCAACGAUUUCACAACUCAUAGCUGCCAACGAGAGAGUGUUUUGGGGAGGGUUAUUCGUUACAUUUGGUUCGACUUUCUUUGGCGGUUUCCUUUAUACUGCUGUGAUAUCAAAGCUACUCCCUCCUUCGGAUAAUGCUAUUGUUUUUGCAAUACAAAAUGACAGGUAUUAUUGCUUGUUGGUGCCUUUGACACUCCCGGUGCUUGUGGUUGCUGUAUACUUGUACUGGCUUAGCAUGAAAAUGUUUAAGCAUGCAUGAUCAUGAUUUCCUACUCAGUUGGCAAAGGACGGGAUGAUUUUGACAAAAUACAAGACGGGUCCCACACAGAACUAAUACGAAUCCAGAAAUCAUUAAGACUAAUGGGAAUAAAUCAAUUUCUAGAAGGGAAAAAAGGGGAAUUAUGGAAAGUGGCUAGAAAUUAGUUGAGAAUAGUAUCUUUAAAAGGGGAAGGAAGGGGUGUGCGUAAGAUAUCUUAUUUUUCUGCAUUAUUCCAUUGGAUUGGCUCUUGCAUCAUGCAUUGAGAGAGGGAUGUUUUCUGCUAUUCCGUUUCACUUUUUAAUUCCAUCAGCCUUCUUCUUCCCUUAA